ACCAGGACUUCGGUCCUGGGGACAGCGGCGAACGGGUGAGUAACACGUGGGUAAUCUGCCCUCGAUUCUGGGAUAGCCCGGGGAAACCCGGAUUAAUACCGGAUAGCCUUUCGAGCUCUCGGGCUUGAAAGAAAAGGUAGCUUCGGCCUCCGAUCGAGGAUGAGCCCGCGGUGGAUUAGCUUGUUGGCGGGGUAAUGGCCCACCAAGGCGACGAUCCAUAGCUGGUCUGAGAGGACGAUCAGCCACACUGGGACUGAGACACGGCCCAGACUCCUACGGGAGGCAGCAGUGGGGAAUCUUGCGCAAUGGGCGAAAGCCUGACGCAGCGACGCCGCGUGGGGGAAGAAGGCCUUAGGG
rnacentral:rRNA from 1 species